UGGCGUAAACAAAGGGAAGCGAAGGGGUGACCCGGAGCAAAUCCCAAAAAUAACGUCUCAGUUCGGAUUGUAGUCUGCAACCCGACUACAUGAAGCUGGAAUCGCUAGUAAUCGCGAAUCAGAAUGUCGCGGUGAAUACGUUCCCGGGUCUUGUACACACCGCCCGUCACACCAUGGGAGUCGGAAAUGCCCGAAGCCUGUGACCCAACCGAGAGGAGGGAGCAGUCGAAGGUGGAGCCGGUGACUGGGGUGAAGUCGUAACAAGGUAGC
rnacentral:rRNA from 1 species